UGCAAGUCGAGGGGUAACAGGGAGCUUGCUUCGCUGACGACCGGCGCACGGGUGCGUAACGCGUAUAGAACCUUACCUUUUACGAGGGGAAUAGCCUUUAGAAAUGAAGAUUAAUCGCCCAUAGUAUUGUAGACUGGCAUCAGUUUACAAUUAAAGAUUUAUCGGUAAAAGAUGGCUAUGCGUCCUAUUAGUUAGUUGGUAAGGUAACGGCUUACCAAGACAUCGAUAGGUAGGGGUCCUGAGAGGGAGAUCCCCCACACUGGUACUGAGACACGGACCAGACUCC
rnacentral:rRNA from 1 species